rnacentral:lncRNA from 1 species
GUUAGAAAGAGAUAAAUGGUAUAGCACGGUUUAUUUACAAUAUUUAUGAAAAGAAAAAUCCUAAUGAUGAAGGAGUAAAGUCAUGGAUAUAAAGAACCACGCUCCUUGAACGAUCAUCAGUAUCAGUUACAAGAAGCCAGCUGCAUUAUGCACGUCCAUCAAAUAAUACUUUUUCUUAUUCAAUUCGAAGAGAUGAUUUUCGAUGAGCAUUUGAAAAUCCUGGAAACCUCCUGGUUAUUUUGGAGGAUCUGGAGGAAAAGGAGCUCCAAUACUCCAAUUUCGGGUUUCACUAUAAGCUGUGCCCCUGGAGCGACAACGAUGCUACCGAUGGACCUGACACAUGUCUUUGUCAUACGUUACCGGAAAAGAAAGCCCAAGCUAUAGACCUCAUGCUUAAAUAUUAUAGAUUAAAUAAAAGAAUGAAUCCAACUCCAAAAAAAUAAAGUAUUUACUUGAAAAU